AAAGUCGUAACAAGGUUUCCGUAGGUGAACCUGCGGAAGGAUCAUUAACGUAGAAAAAGGAGAUUGGGAGGCUUGACCUCCUAAUAAUCUUCCUUCACCAUUAUUGUGCACCUAAAAGUUUGUCUUUGGUGGUUAAACUCAAAAGAGUAUCUUCUGAGGCACCCGUAUCUCUCGUACGAGGGACACAAACUCGUGUUUUCUGCUUUGUCCUUGAUAAAGCGAAGACGACAAGUGGGCUUAUGUGUAAUAACAUUGGCUGGCUUGGAAGAGGGGCCACCGCAUUUAUUAAACAAUUUCUUGUCUGUAUAUACCCAUUUUCUGUUAAAACGUUUAUUGUCUUAACAAAAAACAACUUUUGACAACGGAUCUCUUGGCUCUC
rnacentral:misc_RNA from 1 species